UUUUGCAGCCGCCACCCCACUCCCUCUCCACUCUCCUUCUCCAACUGCCUCCAUCAGAAGAAUCGUCGGAUGUCGGGGUCGCCGAAAGAAGCCGCCACGACCGUUGUUGUUUUGGGGAGAACCAUUGCUAUGAUCGCUGUUGCUGCCACUACCUUGUGUCGCUGUUGCUUCGUUACCGUCAGGCGGUGAACCGCCAUAUCCUCAUUUUUCUUCUCCUUUCUGCGACCGCAAACUUUAGGACUCGUCACACAGCAGCAGCCGCCGCCUACUGCCGGAUGCUUGCGUGAAGGUUGCUGUUGUUCGUUGAAUGCCAUCGGGAGGGUGGUACUGGCUGUUAUUCGUGACCUACGACAUGUAAGCAUAUGAAUAGUGGGAUCUCUGUCGAACAUGGAUCAUGGAGAACCACCAUGGCGACCGGCCAUGGUGGUUGUCAUCGAUAACCGAUGUUGCUGCUCUUUUUCCUUGCUGCAAUUGUCGCCAACCUUGCUGCCGCCGCCACCGUGAGCCUCCAGGUGGGUGGUGGCUAGAGUAUAUUCUGAAAUCGAGUUGUGUAUGUGUCUCCGGGUGGUUGUGUGCUAUUGUUGAUAAUUGGUGCAUCUCGUGUGCGUGAUUUGUUGGCCAUAAUUGAAACACGGACCACCAUGGCCGCCAACCAUGGUGGUUGCCACCAUCUACCGCCACAGUGCGGCGAUGUGUGCAUGUGUGUUAUGUUAUGUGAGUGUGUGUGUUUGUGUAUCUUGUAAAAAUUGUAAUAGUGUCGGUAAUCAAUGGAAAAACUUGUAACCACCAUCGUGAGGUGGUGGCUGCCGCCACCAACCGCCGUGUCGGGGGGGGGUGNGUGAGUUGAUUCCUUUGGGCCUUGUAAACCCUAAUGGGCCCAAUGAGGCCUAAUGGGCUUAGUGAAAAUCCUAAUGGGCUUAAUGAUAUUCUAGUGGGCCUAAUAGGCCCAUUAAAGACCUAAUUGACCUAAGAGCCCAACAAUUGAUAAAUGAGCUAGUAUUUGGGUUGGAAAACUCUAAUUAGGGUUUAGAAAACCCUUAGGGCACAAAACCCUAGUUGUGGGAAUUUUUUGGGACACACACGAGAAUUUAUUAUUAAAUCUAAAAUAAUAAUUAAUAAUCAUUGGCAAUAAUGGACUUAAGGGAUUAAGUCCUUAAUAGAUUAAUUCCUUAAUGGAUUAAGUCUGUAAUGGGUUAAGUAACAAACACUUAAGCUUAAUCAUCAUUUCAUGUGAAAGCCCUAAUCUCACUCGGGCCUUGAAUUGGGCCUUCCUAUUAGGCUUUGGCGAUUGGACUAUUGGUGAGCCAUCUAAGAACAAGUUAAUGGACCAGAGUAAUUAGAUGGGCUUUAGGAUAAGGCCCACAUGAGGACUUGGGCCCAAUUUUGAAAAUUGGGCCAUAGAUGGGCCAUAAUUGGGUCUUUAUGAUUAUGUGAUAUUGGGCCAUGGGAAUUGGAUGGGCCUUAAGGAAAGACCAUGUAGAGGUUUGGGCCCAAUUUGGAAAGUUGGGCCAUAUGUUAGGCUUUGGCCAGUUAUUUGACUUUUGGGCUUUUGUAGUGUGAGUUGGACCUUGGGCUUGAAACCCACUUAUUAAUUGGGUAUUGUUUGAUGUUGACAGUUCGGGAAUUUAUCAACCAGCAGCUGGAGUGUAUCUGCGGGACUUCAACAGUCCCAGGUGAGUUAUCCUCACUAUACUAACUGGUCUAAGGCACCAAGGUCGGCCUAUUGGAUAUGUUAUCCUAGUAGUGUUAUAUGUUGAGUAUGAGUUAGUGUUGCAUGCUAGUGGUUAUGCCAGUUAGGUAGACCUGUAGGACUACCAGUGAUGUUAUAUGAUUAUUGCAUGCUCAAUAGUUACGUUAUAUGUUAUGUGGGAUGGGUUGAGGUUGUACUACUCCGUACGGUAGCCAAUAAACCCUAGAGUAUUCCAGAUAUGAGUUGAGGGCCCGGUAGGCAUUGCAGACUUGUACUGAGGGCUUGAUGGCAAUCCUGAUACGAGCUGAGGGCCCGGUAGGCAUUCCAGACUCAUACUGAGGGCUCGGUGGUAAUCCAGAUGCGAGUUGAGAGCUCGGUAGGUAUUCCAGACUCACACUGUGGGCCUAGGGGUAUGCCAGUCUGUAAAGCUAUGGACCCGUUACGUGUUGUUCUGUUUAGUUUGUAUUGUUAUGAUAUUGCUAAUAUCGUUAUGUGGACUGUAUGUGUAUCGGUAUUUUGGGGGUAACUCAUUAUGAUUUCGGGCUUACAGUUUCAAUUUAUUGUUUCAGGUACUUCAGAGGAUCGUGGCAACACAAAGGCGUUAUCAUACAGCUCCUCACUUUUUAUGACUUUGUUUUUAGGAUACUCUGAUAUGAUACAUUUUGAAAACAAGUUUGUAAUAGUUAAUGGAUUUGAAAUGUUUUUAAAAGUUUAAAUUGGCUUGAAUUUCUCGGGUGUUACACCGGGGGCUAUUCAUGGGAGGUCUUCAGGAAAUACGUCUUGAAAGUUACACACCUUCGGUAUAUCCGUGAGGUUCUUUUCCUCUUUCUGUUUGAACACUACAUGGGCUAGAAAGGCGUGAUUCUUUUUAUGCAGGCACUUUUGUGCCUUGAUGCAUGAGAUAAGAUGGAGAUUCGUACCAAGUUUAUCUCCGUAUAUAAUUAGUGUUUCGUUGGUGGGUAGGUGAAGGCAAACAGUGUAAUGCUUGUGUUUUUAGGCUAAGCAUUAAUGUGAUGAUGUAAUAGUUAGGGUCAACAAUUAUAACCUAUUUGACGUAAUAAAGAAG
rnacentral:lncRNA from 1 species